GCACCGUAGGUGAGAGGAAGUGGGAUGACGUCAAGUCCUCAUGGCCUUUAUGUCUAGGGCUACACACGUACUACAAUGGCCGGUACAAAGGGCAGCCACUCAGCGAUGAGGCGCUAAUCCCAUAAAGCCGGUCUCAGUUCGGAUUGGAGUCUGCAACUCGACUCCAUGAAGUUGGAAUCGCUAGUAAUCGCGGAUCAGCAUGCCGCGGUGAAUACGUUCCCGGGCCUU
rnacentral:rRNA from 1 species